GCUUAGGUAGUUUAUCUAGAAUUUCAAUUUGUGGGAUUGAGGGUAUUUAUUAUAAUCUUGAGCU
rnacentral:tRNA from 1 species